rnacentral:rRNA from 1 species
GACGAACGCUGGCGGCGUGCCUAAUACAUGCAAGUAGAACGCUGAAGGAGGAGCUUGCUUCUUCGGAUGAGUUGCGAACGGGUGAGUAACGCGUAGGUAACCUGCCUGGUAGCGGGGGAUAACUAUUGGAAACGAUAGCUAAUACCGCAUAACAGUAGAUGUUGCAUGACAUUUGCUUAAAAGGUGCAAUUGCAUCACUACCAGAUGGACCUGCGUUGUAUUAGCUAGUUGGUGGGGUAACGGCUCACCAAGGCGACGAUACAUAGCCGACCUGAGAGGGUGAUCGGCCACACUGGGACUGAGACACGGCCCAGACUCCUACGGGAGGCAGCAGUAGGGAAUCUUCGGCAAUGGACGGAAGUCUGACCGAGCAACGCCGCGUGAGUGAAGAAGGUUUUCGGAUCGUAAAGCUCUGUUGUAAGAGAAGAACGAGUGUGAGAGUGGAAAGUUCACACUGUGACGGUAUCUUACCAGAAAGGGACGGCUAACUACGUGCCAGCAGCCGCGGUAAUACGUAGGUCUCGAGCGUUGUCCGGAUUUAUUGGGCGUAAAGCGAGCGCAGGCGGUUAGAUAAGUCUGAAGUUAAAGGCUGUGGCUUAACCAUAGUACGCUUUGGAAACUGUUUAACUUGAGUGCAAGAGGGGAGAGUGGAAUUCCAUGUGUAGCGGUGAAAUGCGUAGAUAUAUAGAGGAACACCGGUGGCGAAAGCGGCUCUCUGGCUUGUAACUGACGCUGAGGCUCGAAAGCGUGGGGAGCAAACAGG